rnacentral:rRNA from 1 species
CAAGUCUCAGUACAUACUGUAUUAAAGUGAAACCGCAAAAGGCUCAGUAAACCAGUUUUGAUUCACUUGAGUAAACUUGACUGUCUUUGGAUAACUGUGGUAAUUCUAGAGCUAAUACAUGCAACAAAGCCCUGACCUCCCAAGGAAAGGGCGCUUUUAUUAGAUCAAAACCAUUCGCCCGGCUCGCCCGGGCGUCUGCUUGAUGAACCUAGAUAAUACAUCAGAUCGUAUGGUCACCGAACCGACGACUUAUCUUUCAAAUGCCUGACUUAUCAACUGUCGAUGGUAGACUCUGUGUCUACCAUGGCUUCUACGGGUAACGGGGAAUCAGGGUUCGAUUCCGGAGAGGGAGCCUGAGAAACGGCUACCACAUCCAAGGAAGGCAGCAGGCACGCAAAUUACCCACUCCCGGCACGGGGAGGUAGUGACAAAAAAUAACGAUACGGGACUCUUAUGAGGCCUCGUAAUCGGAAUGAGAACACUUUAAAUCCUUUAACAAGGAUCCAUUGGAGGGCAAGUCUGGUG